GUCACCGGACUGGUGCAUAGCGCCGCAAAGCCUAGUGGCGGGCCUCACGCCUGACGCCCGUUCCCAACCGGACGAGCCCCGGGCCAGGCCUUCCCCUAGUCGGCUACCGGCGUAGGACCGGGGAGAACGUCACCUGAGGGCUGUUGCUGCCGUCCCCCGCCCGCACCCCCGGCGCCGGGAUGUUCGUUCCAGCACCGGUCUCCAAAGCGGCACCGGCCUUGAAGGAAGAAUUGACAAAUGGUCAUAGCGACGGCGUCGCCCACGGAACGGUCUUCAGGCGGCACCCUCAGCGGAAGGAGAGCCCAAUGCAACCACAGGUCCCACCCCCGCUACCGUGAUGUCAUCUUCUCGCGCCCCUUUCUCUCUUGUCCCGCCCUGGGAUGAGAGGCGUGGGUUUUACCCAAUAGGGUUUGAGAAGAACGGGGCGGCCCCCACUCACUGAGCUUGUCUUGGGAAAGCGGAAUGUUUGGAUGGUUAAUGUGGAGAAAGAGGCGUGUUUGCGCGUGGUACUAGGCCUCCGACUUUAAGGGAGGCUUGAGGGUCGGACAUGAGAAGAAAGCAGGUUAAGGAAACAGAUCUUCAGCAAGGCCCUGGAGGACAGGAGUACUUGUAGUUUGAGAGACCGAGUCGUACUUUUCAUUUCUGCUGUCGAGGAAGCAAAAAUCUGCCCAGCCAUUCAUCAGGUAGAAGAAUGUGAGCCGUCACUGGGGAGGAACACAUUGGAUGCUUCAUCUGUACUGACUUCUCAAGGUGCUAGCCAUCCCAAACAACAAUGAAGCAAGAAACAAACUCUACCUUUGAUAAUACUAGAAGAUCUAUAUAACCCUGAAACUCAUCAGGUCUUCCAGGUCCAACCUGUCAACUUGUAGACUAAUAUAAUACGCUGGGCCAUGAAGAAGACUGGACAAAAAUGGCCCAGUGCUAAUCUUUUAUCUGGAGAACAAAAGUAACUCAAAGCAUAUGAUCCUACAGUACUUCUAUUAGUUUGCUACUGCUGAUUUAACAAAUUAAAUAAAAUACAGAGAAGGAUGUGGGACUGAAAACAGGGAAUAAUUGAAUGACUGCAUUUCUAAGUGUUAGUCCUGCAAAUGCCUGCACCCAGCUUACACCUCCGGCAGUUUAAUCUGACAGUUAUGGAGGUUGAAUCCAAAAUAGGUCACAAUGGGUCAAAAUCCAUGUGUCAGCGGGGAUGCCUGAAGGUUCUAGAGGAGAAAGCAUCUCCUUGCCUUUUUCAGAAUCCAGCAGCCUCCUCCUGCAUUCGUUGGCUUGCGGCCUCUUCUUCCAUCUUCAAAGCCAGCAAUAUCCAGCCAAGUCUUUCUCAAAUUGCAUCACACUGACACUGACUCUUCUGCCUCCCUCUUCCACAUUUAAGGACGCUUGAGAUUACACUGGGCCCACCUGGAUAAUCUCUCCAUCUCAAAGAUCUUUAACCACAUCUGCAAAGUCCUACCGCCAUGUAAGGUAACAUAUUCACAACAGGUUCUGACAAUUAGGAUGUGGAUAUCCUUGGGGGGAAGCACUGUUCUUCCUACCAUGGUACCCAAUAGCUUUAUUUCUACCAAAUGGUCUCUCUCUCAAAGAGCAAGCCUUACAAGCACGCAAGACUUACUUUUCCUAUGAAAAAGACGUUGGAAUACUGUUUAAUGUAAAGAACACAUUCUCUCCUACUAUGAUUCUUUUCCUUGUCAUGUAUCCAAACAUGAAACAUAAGAAAUCAGAAAAGAUAUUUUACUAAGAAAAAACUGAGAAGACAAUUUAGUCACCUGGUCCUCUGCCCUCACAGUCAGAGUGUCCUG